AGAGCCAGGAAGCAAAAGAAAGGUAUGAUAAUGUUACCCCCAAUAAGAAGCACAAGGAUGGAUGACUGACUUAAUUGCUGGAAGAAAAAUCUUCACAGAGGCCUCUUGCUGGGUACCUUGAGAAGGUAGUUGAGUUCCCAGCAAUGCAGUUCUCCAUUAAAACUCCAGAUUAAAGAAGAAGUGGCAAAGGGCCACAUGGGAUUACACAAGGUUUGAGACAAACUCAUGACCAGCCACUUUUGAGUACAAUUGGAAGAGAUGAAAUUCCAGUGAUUCACAACCCAGUUCAGAUUAGUCUCCCCCUUU
ensembl:ribozyme RNaseP_nuc Nuclear RNase P